rnacentral:rRNA from 1 species
CAGUCGCCGCGGGAAUACGUAGGGUGCAAGCGUUAAUCGGAAUUACUGGGCGUAAAGCGUGCGCAGGCGGUUUGUUAAGACAGAUGUGAAAUCCCCGGGCUCAACCUGGGAACUGCAUUUGUGACUGGCGAGCUAGAGUAUGGCAGAGGGGGGUAGAAUUCCACGUGUAGCAGUAAAAUGCGUAGAUAUGCGGAGGAACACCGAUGGCGAAGGCAGCCCCCUGGGCCAACACUGACGCUCAUGCACGAAAGCGUGGGGAGCAAACAGGAUUAGAUACUCCCGUAGUCCCUGUCUCUUAUAC